rnacentral:rRNA from 1 species
UACGUAGGGCGCAAGCGUUGUCCGGAAUUAUUGGGCGUAAAGAGCUCGUAGGCGGCUUGUCACGUCGGGUGUGAAAGCCCGGGGCUUAACCCCGGGUCUGCAUUCGAUACGGGCAGGCUAGAGUGUGGUAGGGGAGAUCGGAAUUCCUGGUGUAGCGGUGAAAUGCGCAGAUAUCAGGAGGAACACCGGUGGCGAAGGCGGAUCGCUGGGCCAUUACUGACGCUGAGGAGCGAAAGCGUGGGGAGCGAACAGG